rnacentral:rRNA from 1 species
GACGAACGCUGGCGGCGUGCUUAACACAUGCAAGUCGAACGGAAAGGCCCUGCUUUUGUGGGGUGCUCGAGUGGCGAACGGGUGAGUAACACGUGAGUAACCUGCCCUUGACUUUGGGAUAACUUCAGGAAACUGGGGCUAAUACCGGAUAGGAGAUCCUGCUGCAUGGAGAGGGUUGGAAAGUUUCGGCGGUUGGGGAUGGACGAGCGGCUGAUCAGCUUGUUGGUGGGGUAGGGGCUUACCAAGGCUUUGACGGGUAGCCGGCCUGAGAGGGUGACCGGCCACAUUGGGACUGAGAUACGGCCCAGACUCCUACGGGAGGCAGCAGUGGGGAAUAUUGCACAAUGGGCGGGAGCCUGAUGCAGCAACGCCGCGUGCGGGAUGACGGCCUUCGGGUUGUAAACCGCUUUCGCCUGUGACGAAGCGUGAGUGACGGUAAUGGGUAAAGAAGCACCGGCUAACUACGUG